rnacentral:tRNA from 1 species
GCGAUCUUAGUAUAAUGGCUAUUAUUUCUGGUUUCCACCCAGAAGAUACGGGUUCGAUACCCGUAGAUCGCUCCA